rfam:Triticum aestivum genome assembly, contig: Triticum_aestivum_CS42_TGACv1_scaffold_361345_4DS
ACUGUACUCCCUUCGUCCGGAAAUACUUGUCGAAGAAAUGGAUGUAUCUAGAUGUAAUUUAGUUCUUCGUACAUCCAUUUUUAUCCAUUUCUAUGAGAAGUAUUUUCGGACGGAGGGAGUAGCUC